GGCAUAAAUAAAUAAGUAACCCAGAGAAGAAGGCUUUGUUGUGCCUUGGAAAUGAUCGAAGGUUAACGUCUCAUAAAUAACUGUGUAGCGCAGCUCUCAUCUCGGGGAAGCCCUUUGCAGGGGUCAGGAGUUAGGGAGGACGUUGUUGUCUACUCCUGUAGACAUGGAGAUAGGCACGGUGCCUGCUCCCACAGUCCCUGCAGCUAGCGUGUGCUGUAGGUAGGGCAUGGAGUCGCUGACAUAUUACCAAUCUCAAAAUGACAAAUUUCUCUCUACUGUAAAGGCAGAUAUCAUUCACUGAUUCAGAAAGAGCCAAAGAAAUGCUAAGCAGAACACAGGACAGAGAGAGGACAAACCUCUAGCUGGCCAGGGGCUCUCAAGCUAGAUUGCCAACGACCUGAAAGGGAAAAAUUUUCAAUUCUGACUUUGGCCACAGGACCCAGCCAUAUGUCUUCCACAUUCAUUUUGCUGAGUGCCAAAGUUCAUUU
rnacentral:lncRNA from 1 species